AGUGUAGAGGUGAAAUUCGUAGAUAUUAAGAGGAACACCGGUGGCGAAGGCGGCUAUCUGGCACACAACUGACGCUGAGGCGCGAAAGCGUGGGGAUCAAACAGGAUUAGAUACCCUGGUAGUCCACGCCGUAAACGAUGAGUGCUAGCUGUUGGGCCCGUAGGGUUCAGUAGUGAAGCUAACGCAUUAAGCACUCCGCCUGGGGAGUACGGUCGCAAGAUUAAAACUCAAAGAAAUUGACGGGGACCCGCACAAGCGGUGGAGCAUGUGGUUUAAUUCGAGGCAACGCGAAGAACCUUACCAGGUCUUGACAUGUACAGUAUGGUUUCCCGAAAAGGAUUCCUUCAGUUCGGCUGGCUGUAUACAGGUGCUGCAUGGCUGUCGUCAGCUCGUGUCGUGAGAUGUUGGGUUAAGUCCCGCAACGAGCGCAACCCUCAUUCUUAGUUGCCAACAGGUUAUGCUGGGAACUCUAAGAAAACUGCCGGUGAUAAGCCGGAG
rnacentral:rRNA from 1 species